rnacentral:lncRNA from 1 species
UCUAGUGAGUGAGUGUAGACAAAGAACAGGUCUAAGGAUAGAAUUCUCAGGGUCCUCCAAAAUUAAGAAGCCAAGUAAGAGAAACCAUUAGAAAGAUUGAGAAAGUACCCAAUAAGGUCAGCGAAGAUUUUGAUAGAAGACUCAGACAUCUCUAUUUGAGAUGGCCACACUGUAAGUGCUCAGACUUGAAAGGAUGAUAUCCAAGAAAUCAAAUGAAGAAAAUGUAUCAAGGAGGCAGUGAUCAAUUGUUUCGAGUGAGAUAAGGACUGAAAACUGACAAUUCGCUUUGACAACGUGGAAGUCACUGGAGAUGCUGACGGGGUUGUUUUGGUGGAGUGGUGUAGAUAAAAGUCUACUUAGAGUUAUUGAAGAGAGAGUAAGAGAGCAGAAAUGGAUACUACAAGUAUGAACAAUACUUUGAAGAAGUUUUGUUAUAAAGAAGAUAAGAAAAAUGCAAAGGUAGCUGCAGGGAAGCUUGAGAUCAAGGGAAAGUAUUUUAAUAUAGAAAUAAAGCAUAUUUAUAUACUGAUGGACAUAAAUUGAUCAGGAGGAAGAAGAGAGAGCCUUGGCUGGGCGUCAUCACGUAUGCCUGUAAUCCCAGCAUUUUGGGAGGCCGAGGCACGUGGAUCAUUUGAGGUCAGGAGUUUGAGACCAGCCUGGCCAACAUGGUGAAACCCCGUCUCUACUAAAAAUACAAAAAUUAGCCAGGAGUGGUGGUGCACACCUGUAAUCUCAGCUACUCGGGAGGCUAAGGCAGGAAAACCUCUUGAACCCGGGAGGUGGAGGUUGCAGUGAGCCACGAUCAUGCCACUGCACUCCAGCCUGGGUGACAGAGCAAGAUUCCAUCUAAAAUAAAUAAAUAAAUAAAUAAAAAUUAAAAAAAUUAAAAAAAAAAACAAACAGGAAGAGAGAGCCUCUCCAAAAUGGCUAGAGUAAAAUUGCUAGAGUGAUCUCCUUGAGUAGAUGUGAGAUCCUGGGACCUAGUGUAGAACAGGAGGGCUGUGCCUUGGACAGACCCAUGGACAGUUCCUCAGAGGACAGAAUGGAUGAGGGGACACAGGCGAAGAUGCAAGCAGGUUUGGAAGAAGUGAUGGGAACCACAUGUGGAAGGUCUCCUCUGAUUGUUUCCAUUUUCGCCGUGUAAAAGAAAUCAAGGCCAUCAGCUGAGAAUAAAGAACCAAGAAGUCGCAAAAGUUUGAGGAGAGAGCAGAAGGUUUGAGAUCAUGUUUGUGAAGCAAGAGUUCACAAACUCUUUGAAUGAAUUAGAAUUGCUGGGCCCACUUAAAUUUGGGGGCUCAUGAGUUUAAAGUGAUACCAAGCAGUAGAUUGGGUACUUUCCUCCAGCCAAGUUCAGCAACCAGAAAACAGGUACAGAGUAAGAAAAGGGCUGCAAAUAACUAGGAUUGGGGGUUUUCCAAAGAAGGAAAAAAAACAUGAAAGAGGCUCCAGGGAGUUACAGUUGUAUAAAGUGAGUGAUGAUUAUGAUAGACUAUAAGAUCUAGGAUGGAUAAGGAGGUAAGGAUACACAGGAUGUAAAGGACAGUGAAAAGAUGGUAGGACAAAUUCAUUGUUAGGUCAACGGAUUUUUAAGUCAGAAUGUGAGGGACAGUGAGCUGGAAAGAUAUGAGGUGGUGGGCCUAGGGUAGAAUGCUUGAGAUUGAGAUUUUGAUCUAUGGCUAUACCACCCUGAACAUGCUUGAUCUUGUCUGAGCUCAGAAGCUAAGCAUGGUCGGACCUGGUUAGUUCUUGGAUGGGAGAUGGAGAUUAUGGAAGAUGAGGAGUUAUUGAUAAGGACAAAGUUGAGGGGAGGCUAUGAAUGGCUCAUUCCAUGAGCAUGAGUGGCUGAGGUUGGAAGAGAAUGAAAUCAUUAUAGGAGAAGAGGUCAAGGGACUCAGAUGCCAGAGAGUAUUGAAAUGAUCAUCUAGGAAUUGUGACAGAAAAAUUGUUGUCACAAACAAGUGCGGAUAAGCUGGGAGUUUACAUCUUCAAAGAACGUGGAAAGUAACCCAGUCAGCAGAUAACUGCAAUAAGAAAGGGUAGCUGGUAAUGAUGUCUAAAUUUCACACCAAGGGAGAAGAGAACUUGGUCUAAUAGGAGCAAUAAAAACCAGGGAGACAUCUCCCCAUCUCUAAGUCCGGAAUUCUAUUCAAAUUCACAUUCCAAAUAUAGGCUAUAUGUUUCUGGUCUCACAAGAGUCAUACUCUAUCCUAAAGGAACCUGGAAUAAUUACAGGCUUCCUGCCUUAACUCAAAGGGGUGUGGAAAAGAAAAUAAGCACCACUCAACCAGGCUACAAGAAAGCAGGACUCAGAGGUCCAGGUUUCAGUUAAAAAAAUAAUGUGUAGGAGACACUAAGAGAAAAGGUUGAGAAUAUGAGGGCUUUAGCCGAUAAUGGGCCACAGAGCACAGAAAAGGGGUGGAAGUGGGAAAUGGGCAAUGGGGUCAGAAUAGGGAAUAAACAAACAGGAUGUAGAUCUAGACUAUUAGGAAUGACCUUAUAGUUUGGUAUAUGGGAUGAAGGGAGUGGCGAGAUUGUCCUGGAUUGUCUCUUAGGCAGAUUGUGGUGGAGAGGCUGUCAGUGUUGGGGGACGAGGGAUGAGGGUCAUGCCAGAACCUUGCCAGGGUUCUGGGGCCCUUUGAAACUUUGGUGUCAUCUUUACGACUUCCUCAGAUCCAGGAUGAAUGGCUCCCUCAUUAAACUUGCCCCCUAGCAGAGUUGAAAACCCCUAACCUAAGCCAGCUUAUACUUUCAUAAAGAAUUUUACUAAAUCCUGAAGGAAAACAUAAGAUGAAAUAACAAACAGAAAAGACAAAAUAUCCACAUUCCAAAUAUGGGUUUCUGAUGCCAGAAGAGUCUUGCCCUAUCUCAAAAUGAGCUAGUGUGACUAUAUACUUCAUGGUUUAACUCAAAAGGAAAUACUUAUUAAUUGUUGAGACAGAGGCAUUGCAUAAUACCAGUGUGGGGAAGAUGUUUUGAAAAGGCAUCUUUAAACCAUUCCCAGGCAUUUACCCAUAUGCGCAGCUGUUCCUGUAUAGGACUUUCUUC